rnacentral:rRNA from 1 species
GAUGAACGCUGGCGGCGUGCCUAAUACAUGCAAGUCGAGCGAACGGACGAGAAGCUUGCUUCUCUGAUGUUAGCGGCGGACGGGUGAGUAACACGUGGAUAACCUACCUAUAAGACUGGGAUAACUUCGGGAAACCGGAGCUAAUACCGGAUAAUAUUUUGAACCGCAUGGUUCAAAAGUGAAAGACGGUCUUGCUGUCACUUAUAGAUGGAUCCGCGCUGCAUUAGCUAGUUGGUAAGGUAACGGCUUACCAAGGCAACGAUGCAUAGCCGACCUGAGAGGGUAAACGAGCACACGAGGAGUGAGACACGAUCGAGGCUCCAACAGGAGACAACAGUAGGGAAUCUACAGCGAUAGGCAAAGGCCUGACGGAACCACAACGAAUGAGAGAUCAAAGUCUACGGAUCGUAAGACUCUCUUAUUAAGGUGGAACAAAUGUGUAACGAACUAUGAACAUCCUGACGGUACCUAAAAAGAAAGCAACGGCUAACUACAUG